rnacentral:sRNA from 1 species
GCUGGGUGCAGUGGUGCAUGCCUGUAAUCCCAGUGGCUCGGAGGCUGAGGAAGGAGGAUCUCAGGUUCAAAGCCAGCCUCAGCAAUGGCGAGGUGCUAAGCAACUCAGUGAUACCCUGUCUUUA